rnacentral:rRNA from 1 species
UACGAAGGGGGCUAGCGUUGCUCGGAAUCACUGGGCGUAAAGGGCGCGUAGGCGGCGUUUUAAGUCGGGGGUGAAAGCCUGUGGCUCAACCACAGAAUGGCCUUCGAUACUGGGACGCUUGAGUAUGGUAGAGGUUGGUGGAACUGCGAGUGUAGAGGUGAAAUUCGUAGAUAUUCGCAAGAACACCGGUGGCGAAGGCAGUGUCCUGGGGAGUACCUGACGCUCAGGUGCGAAAGCCAGGGGAGCGAACGGG